rnacentral:rRNA from 1 species
UACAGAGAGUGCAAGCGUUAAUCAGAAUUACUGGGCGUAAAGCGCGCGUAGGUGGAUUGUUAAGUCGGAUGUGAAAGCCCUGGGCUUAACCUGGGAAUUGCAUCCGAUACUGGCAAUCUAGAGUAUGGUAGAGGGAAGUGGAAUUUCCGGUGUAGCGGUGAAAUGCGUAGAUAUCGGAAAGAACACCAGUGGCGAAGGCGGCUUCCUGGACCAAUACUGACACUGAGGUGCGAAAGCGUGGGGAGCAAACAGG